CAGCUCUGAAUUCUGGGUCAACCGUGGACCGACUGUGACCCUUCGGGCAAGUCCCUUCGCCUCUCUGGAGCUGGCUCAUAAGAGGGAAAAGGAACCCCUGUGGGGAGGGUCUAUUUAUCCUGGCGAAGAUUGCCUGAAGUGAUCUUCUAACAGGAGCGUUUCCAGAGGAGGGGCUGGGCUGGGAGAGGUGUGGACAGCUGGGGACCGCUCUGAGCAGUGCAGCCCCGGGCGCCCCACACCACCACGUGGUCUGGGGAGGAAGGUGGGAGCAGACACACAAGAAGGGACCUCUGGGGGUCUGUGGGCCCCUGCCAUGUGGAGGGGUGCCCAGGGACCCUUGGGGACGGGGGGGGGGAACAGGGUGGGUGGCGGCACUGGGGAGGGGGUGAGGCUAUGGCCCAUGCCCUCCUCCUCGCAGAAUGUCUGCCACACACUCUGGUGCUCUGUGGGGACCACCUGUCACUCCAAGCUGGAUGCAGCCGUGGACGGCACCCGGUGUGGGGAGAAUAAGGGUG
rnacentral:lncRNA from 1 species